AUACGGAGGAUCCGAGCGUUAUCCGGAUUUAUUGGGUUUAAAGGGAGCGUAGGCGGACGCUUAAGUCAGUUGUGAAAGUUUGCGGCUCAACCGUAAAAUUGCAGUUGAUACUGGGUGUCUUGAGUACAGUAGAGGCAGGCGGAAUUCGUGGUGUAGCGGUGAAAUGCUUAGAUAUCACGAAGAACUCCGAUUGCGAAGGCAGCCUGCUGGACUGUAACUGACGCUGAUGCUCGAAAGUGUGGGUAUCAAACAGGAUUAGAUACCCUGGUAGUCCACACAGUAAACGAUGAAUACUCGCUGUUUGCGAUAUACAGUAAGCGGCCAAGCGAAAGCGUUAAGUAUUCCACCUGGGGAGUACGCCGGCAACGGUGAAACUCAAAUGAAUGACGGGG
rnacentral:rRNA from 1 species